rnacentral:rRNA from 1 species
AGGACGAACGCUGGCGGCGUGCUUAACACAUGCAAGUCGAGCGGAAAGGCCUUUCGGGGUACUCGAGCGGCGAACGGGUGAGUAACACGUGAGUAAUCUGCCCAUCGCUUCAGGAUAGCCAUCGGAAACGGUGAUUAAUACUGGAUAUGACAUUCCUCGCAUGUUGGGGUGUGGAAGGUUUUUUCGGCGGUGGAUGUGCUCGCGGCCUAUCAGCUUGUUGGUGGGGUAAUGGCCUACCAAGGCUUUGACGGGUAGCCGGCCUGAGAGGGUGACCGGCCACACUGGGACUGAGACACGGCCCAGACUCCUACGGGAGCAGCAGUGGGGAAUAGUUGGACAA